CCUACGGGUGGCAGCAGUGAGGAAUAUUGGUCAAUGGACGAGAGCCUGAACCAGCCAAGUAGCGUGAAGGAUGACUGCUCUAUGGGUUGUAAACUUCUUUUAUAUGGGAAUAAAGUGAUCCACGUGUGCCUUUUUGUAUGUACCAUAUGAAUAAGCAUCGGCUAACUCCGUGCCAGCAGCCGCGGUAAUACGGAGGAUGCGAGCGUUAUCCGGAUUUAUUGGGUUUAAAGGGUGCGUAGGUGGAUUAUUAAGUCAGUGGUGAAAGUUUGUGGCUCAACCAUAAAAUUGCAGUUGAAACUGGGUGUCUUGAGUACAAUAGAGGUGGGCGGAAUCCGUGGUGGAGCGGUGAAA
rnacentral:rRNA from 1 species